AAAGGCUUCUGAAAUAGUGAUCAGGGAGGUGCAGCACCCUGCAACCAAGUCUGAGGAGGAAGAUAUAAAAAGUUAUCCCGAGAUUACUGCACUACAAACUAUGGUUGCUGAAUGUCAAGAAAAGCUUUGUAAGUUGGCUUGGAUAGAGAAAAGGCUGGACUGUUUGGAGGAACGAAUGAAAGGGAAAGUGAUAGUAGAUGAAAAGACGUGGACUAAUCUUCUCAGUCGGAUCACUCUACUUGAAACAGAAUUGCUUUUGUCUAAAAAGGAUAAAUGUGUAGAAUUUAAUGCAGUGAGUGAUGACUGUGCUUCCUGCAGUGACGUAGAUCUGGUGACCCUUGGAAUCUCUUAG
rnacentral:lncRNA from 1 species